rnacentral:lncRNA from 1 species
GACUUCUAUCACCCUCUGCCUUGAAAACAGGCUGAGGACCUGGGGGGGCCACAGCAGACAGAACUUGCUUGCUGUCUGUUUCUGUUCCCCUUUGCAGUGAGUUCCAAGCACUGCCCUGUCCCUGAUUUCUCGGAACCCUCGAAUCACCCCUGAGUCAGUGAUGCCUUCUGCCCAGUGCCAACUCAACGUAAAGAUCUGGGGAUAUAGAGAUGGCUGUGCUGGGGUCCCCAACCUCAUUAAGCACAAUGACCCCAAGUGCUAACAUCAUGGAGCACCCACCACACACUGGAUAAUAACAGCAAGCACAUGGAUGUGAUCUCCACCUCAUACCAAGAACGCCAGGAUCGUGGUGUUUCUUCCAAGAAAUUCGGACGGACCAACUCCCCUCCAAGUAUUUGACAAUAUUUCCCAAGAACAUCACCAGCAGAUAUUUCUAGGUAGGAAGUCUUUGUUAAUAGGGGGUAUGACCAUGAUCACAAUAUAUCCUGCACAUGUGUGAAAAUGUCAUAAGGAAAUUUACUGUUAUGUACAAUUGAUAUAUACUACUAAAACAAAAAAGCUCUUCAAGAAUAAAUAUAACAUUUUGAAUAGUAAAAACAAACAAAUCAGUAUUGGGCGGGGCAUAGUGGCGCAGGCCUUUUAAUUCCAGCAUUUGGAAGGCAGAAGUAGGUGGAUUUCUCUGAGUUCAAGGCCAGCCUGGUCUACAUAGCAAGUUUUAGGCCAACGAGGACCACAUGAGACUACCUCAAGAAAAAUAAAUAAAAAAUAAACGUGCCCCCCUCCGCCCCGCCCAAGCCACCGGUUUCCAUGUUCACACACUACCAAUGACCUGACCCAAAAGGUAUUUUCUGAAUACCAACCAGGACCUCACUACUGGAUUACCUAAAUAAACAUUUUGAGCCAUCCUCCGUUACCCACGAUGCACUGG